GCGUUGAUUGCUCAGCGGCAAAGCAGUGGGACGGUACCCCACCUGUCCCGGGUUCAAUUCCCGAUCGACGCU